rnacentral:rRNA from 1 species
GUGCAAGCCUGAACCAGCCAUCCCGCGUGAAGGACGACUGCCCUAUGGGUUGUAAACUUCUUUUGUAUAGGGAUAAACCUACCCUCGUGAGGGUAGCUGAAGGUACUAUACGAAUAAGCACCGGCUAACUCCGUGCCAGCAGCCGCGGUAAUACGGAGGAUGCAAGCGUUACUCGGAAUCACUGGGCGUAAAGAGCACGUAGGCGGCCUUGCAAGUCAGAUGUGAAAUCCAACGGCUUAACCGUUGAACUGCAUUUGAAACUGCAAGGCUAGAGUAUGGGAGAGGUAGGUGGAAUUCUCGGUGUAGGGGUAAAAUCCGUAGAGAUCGAGAGGAAUACUCAUUGCGAAGGCGACCUGCUGGAACAUUACUGACGCUGAGGUGCGAAAGCGUGGGGAGCAAACA